rnacentral:rRNA from 1 species
CCUACGGGGGGCAGCAGUGAGGAAUAUUGGUCAAUGGGCGAGAGCCUGAACCAGCCAAGUCGCGUGAGGGAGUACUGCCCUAUGGGUUGUAAACCUCUUUUGUCGGGGAGCAAAAGCCGGACGUUUCCGGCUGUGAUAGUACCCGAAGAAAAAGCAUCGGCUAACUCCGUGCCAGCAGCCGCGGUAAUACGGAGGAUGCGAGCGUUAUCCGGAUUUAUUGGGGUUAAAAGGUGCGCAGGUGGGUUUUUAAGUCAGCGGUCAAAUCGUGGGGCUAAACCCCAUCCCGCCGUUGAAACUGGGGAUCUAGAGUGUGCGAGAGGUAUGCGGAAUGCGUGGUGGAGCGGUGAAAUGCAUAGAUAUCACGCAGAACACCAGUGGCGAAGGCAGAUUGCUGGACAGUAACUGACGCUGAGGCGCGAAAGCGUGGGGAGCAAACAGGAUUAGAUACCCGUGUAGUC